rnacentral:rRNA from 1 species
AUUGAACGCUGGCGGCAGGCCUAACACAUGCAAGUCGAGCGGAUGAAGGGAGCUUGCUCCUGGAUUCAGCGGCGGACGGGUGGGUAAUGCCUAGGAAUCUGCCUGGUAGUGGGGGAUAACGUCCGGAAACGGGCGCUAAUACCGCAUACGUCCUGAGGGAGGAAGUGGGGGAUCUUCGGACCUCACGCUAUCAGAUGAGCCUAGGUCGGAUUAGCUAGUUGGUGGGGUAAAGGCCUACCAAGGCGACGAUCCGUAACUGGUCUGAGAGGAUGAUCAGUCACACUGGAACUGAGACACGGUCCAGACUCCUACGGGAGGCAGCAGUGGGGAAUAUUGGACAAUGGGCGAAAGCCUGAUCCAGCCAUGCCGCGUGUGUGAAGAAGGUCUUCGGAUUGUAAAGCACUUUAAGUUGGGAGGAAGGGCAGUAAGUUAAUACCUUGCUGUUUUGACGUUACCAACAGAAUAGGCACCGGCUAACUUCGUG